rnacentral:rRNA from 1 species
UCGAGAGACUUCCACAAUGGGCGAAAGCCUGAUGGAGCGACGCCGCGUGCAGGAUGAAGCCCUUCGGGGUGUAAACUGCUUUUAUGGGUGAAAAUUUUGAUGAUAUUAACCCAAGAAUAAGGGGUUGCUAAACUCGUGCCAGCAGCAGCGGUAAGACGAGUACCCCUAGCGUUGUCCGGAUUUACUGGGCGUAAAGGGUGUGUAGGGGGCUAUGUUAGUCCGGUUUUAAAACUUUCGGCUUAACCGGAAGAUGGGCCGGAAACGGCAUAGCUUGAGGAUGCGAGAGGUCUGUGGAACUCACGGUGUAGGGUGAAUCCGUUGAUAUCGUGGGGAACACCAAAGGCGAAGGCAGCAGACUGGCGUAUUCCUGACCCUGAGACACGAAGCGUGGGUAGCGAAAA